rnacentral:rRNA from 1 species
AACAGACGAGGAGCUUGCUCCUCUGACGUUAGCGGCGGACGGGUGAGUAACACGUGGAUAACCUACCUAUAAGACUGGGAUAACUUCGGGAAACCGGAGCUAAUACCGGAUAAUAUAUUGAACCGCAUGGUUCAAUAGUGAAAGACGGUUUUGCUGUCACUUAUAGAUGGAUCCGCGCCGCAUUAGCUAGUUGGUAAGGUAACGGCUUACCAAGGCAACGAUGCGUAGCCGACCUGAGAGGGUGAUCGGCCACACUGGAACUGAGACACGGUCCAGACUCCUACGGGAGGCAGCAGUAGGGAAUCUUCCGCAAUGGGCGAAAGCCUGACGGAGCAACGCCGCGUGAGUGAUGAAGGUCUUCGGAUCGUAAAACUCUGUUAUUAGGGAAGAACAAAUGUGUAAGUAACUAUGCACGUCUUGACGGUACCUAAUCAGAAAGCCACGGCUAACUACGUGCCAGCAGCCGCGGUAAUACGUAGGUGGCAAGCGUUAUCCGGAAUUAUUGGGCGUAAAGCGCGCGUAGGCGGUUUUUUAAGUCUGAUGUGAAAGCCCACGGCUCAACCGUGGAGGGUCAUUGGAAACUGGAAAACUUGAGUGCAGAAGAGGAAAGUGGAAUUCCAUGUGUAGCGGUGAAAUGCGCAGAGAUAUGGAGGAACACCAGUGGCGAAGGCGACUUUCUGGUCUGUAACUGACGCUGAUGUGCGAAAGCGUGGGGAU